GUUUGGUUUGCCAUCACUUUUUGUGACUUUUCUGACAUCUGCAAGUGUCGGAAGUGUGACCUGAAACAUUUAAGGACACUUCUGCCUGAACCAUGGGCAGAUGUUUAGACUCCAAGAUACAGAGGAGGAGGGUCUUGGAGGUUUCUUAGUAUAAGUUCCUCCCUGUGGUACUUGCAGUUCCUACAAGGGGCUGUCAGAGAAACAAGCCGGAGAAGAGCAAGACAUGGUCCUGGUGCAUGAAAGGAGCCUAAGAAAGAAGAGUGAAAGCUGCACGUGUGUGAGUAUCUAGCAGAACAUCUAGAAAAUGCACACCAACCUCCAGCAGCAGAAAACAGUCUACCUCCAGAAAGCCAUAAAAGAGAAAAGAAUGUUGUACCAAACUAAGCAAAUGAAGCAUGAAAUGAAAAGCCGGUUGAGCUGGGAGGUAUAAAGAAUGGAAAGGAAGCAGCUACCACCCCUGGUAACCCCAUCAAUCCGGAGAAGCUUCGCAGAGUUACACUGUGCUCUGUCGGGAAGGAAAUGAAUUUUCCUCAUUGUACACAUUCCGAGAAAAAUGAGGCUAAGACUAUUUCAAAGGAUGUUCUACCUAAUUCGAAUGGGCUUUAAGUGCCAUCUUCACAAUAGCGCCAGAGUCUGGUGUCAGCAAACUGAACAAAUAGAGCUACAGGGAGCGAAUGGGGCUGGGUGCCUCUCCAAAACAUAUGCAGAUGAACUUGAGAUUUCAGAGGACGGUUAAUCCUACACAGCAGUCAAGUGCCUUCCCAGGGGGCUCCCUUCCAAACACUGGCUGCCACGUCAAACCAAAGGGGACGAGCAAUCAGACUCACCUCAAACGCCAGUUAAGAAAGCCGGCCUUACUUAAGCAAUCAAGGGCAAGUGAUCAGCCAACUCUGCUUUCUUUCCUUUCUCUUGGAUCAUUUAUAGACCUUGUGGCCGUGGCCACCACAUUGAGAAGCCCUUGGUCUCUACUUGGACUCACUAUAGCAGAGCAUCCUGGCAGGCAUCCACUGUGCCAUAUGCUUUCGGGAAGUCUGGAUGCUGAAUGUGGUGGCUGUGGGGAAUUGAGCCUUAUUGCUUCAUAAGAUUCCUGGUGGUAGAACUAUUCUGAACAAGAACACGUCCGUCCCCAUAGGUGUGCUCCAAGAAUCACAGAAUAAGAAGGGACUUCGGAGAGAGCCUCACACAGUUGGGCAAUGGGAGCCCAGAGAGGCAAGGAAGGCUCCUUGCCCAAAGUCUUGUACAUCUGAAUCUGCAACUCCUGACUAUUUUUGAGUCUUAUGCUCCAGGCUAAAACUUGUGACUUUAAGUGUGAUGUUCUCGGUGAUGAUUAAUCUAGGAUGUUUCUGUUGUUUUCUUACCGUCAAAGAAUUAACAUCAAAAGGAAAGGAAGGAAGAAAUGUAGAAGUGAAGGCAAGAAGGAAGGAAGGAGGAAAGGAAGGAAGGAAAAUAUAGGCUUUGGGUAAAAAUAAGUUUCUACUCAACACUGACAAAGGUACAGGUUUUGGACAUUGGUUUCCUAAUCUGUAAAUGAGGAAUAGUCAUCACAUCGCUGUCCUGGCUGGUUUUGUGUGUCAACUUGACACAAGCUGGAGUUAUCACAGAGAAAGGAAAGAAAAUGCCUCCAUGAGAUCUAGCUGUAAAUGGAUUAGUGAUCAAGAGUGGGAGGGCCCAGUGUGGGUGGUGCCAUCCCUGGACUGGUGGUCCUGGGUUCUACAAGAAAACAAGCUGAGCAAGCCAGGGGAAGCAAGCCAGGGGAACAUCCCUCCACGGCUCUGCAUCAGCUCCUGCUUCCUGCCCUGUGUGAGUUCCAGUCCUGACUUCCUUUGGUGACGAACAGCAAUGUGAUAGUAUAAGCUGAAUAAACCCUUUCCUCCCCAAC
rnacentral:lncRNA from 1 species